AGCAGUGAGGAAUAUUGGUCAAUGGGCGCAAGCCUGAACCAGCCAUCCCGCGUGCAGGAAGACGGCCCUAUGGGUUGUAAACUGCUUUUCCAGGGAGCGAAACUCUCGUACGGGUUGCGGGAUUGACGGUACCCUGGGAAUAAGCAUCGGCUAACUCCGUGCCAGCAGCCGCGGUAAUACGGAGGAUGCGAGCGUUAUCCGGAUUCAUUGGGUUUAAAGGGUGCGUAGGCGGACU
rnacentral:rRNA from 1 species